GUGGAGGUCCUGUAGAACCAUGUCCAGAUAAAGCAUCAUGUUAAUGUUACUACUUAGCUUCGGCUGGUGGAGGUCCUGUAGAACCAUGUCCAGAUAAAGCAUCAUGUUAAUGUUACUACUUAGCUUCGGCUGGUGGAGGUCCUGUAGAACCAUGUCCAGAUAAAGCAUCAUGUUAAUGUUACUACUUAGCUUCGGCUGGUGGAGGUCCUGUAGAACCAUGUCCAGAUAAAGCAUCAUGUUAAUGUUACUACUUAGCUUCGGCUGGUGGAGGUCCUGUAGAACCAUGUCCAGAUAAAGCAUCAUGUUAAUGUUACUACUUAGCUUUGGCUGGUGGAGGUCCUGUAGAACCAUGUCCAGAUAAAGCAUCAUGUUAAUGUUACUACUUAGCUUCGGCUGGUGGAGGUCCUGUAGAACCAUGUCCAGAUAAAGCAUCAUGUUAAUGUUACUACUUAGCUUCGGCUGGUGGAGGUCCUGUAGAACCAUGUCCAGAUAAAGCAUCAUGUUAAUGUUACUACUUAGCUUUGGCUGGUGGAGGUCCUGUAGAACCAUGUCCAGAUAAAGCAUCAUGUUAAUGUUACUACUUAGCUUUGGCUGGUGGAGGUCCUGUAGAACCAUGUCCAGAUAAAGCAUCAUGUUAAUGUUACUACUUAGCUUCGGCUGGUGGAGGUCCUGUAGAACCAUGUCCAGAUAAAGCAUCAUGUUAAUGUUACUACUUAGCUUUGGCUGGUGGAGGUCCUGUAGAACCAUGUCCAGAUAAAGCAUCAUGUUAAUGUUACUACUUAGCUUUGGCUGGUGGAGGUCCUGUAGAACCAUGUCCAGAUAAAGCAUCAUGUUAAUGUUACUACUUAGCUUUGGCUGGUGGAGGUCCUGUAGAACCAUGUCCAGAUAAAGCAUCAUGUUAAUGUUACUACUUAGCUUCGGCUGGUGGAGGUCCUGUAGAACCAUGUCCAGAUAAAGCAUCAUGUUAAUGUUACUACUUAGCUUCGGCUGGUGGAGGUCCUGUAGAACCAUGUCCAGAUAAAGCAUCAUGUUAAUGUUACUACUUAGCUUUGGCUGGUGGAGGUCCUGUAGAACCAUGUCCAGAUAAAGCAUCAUGUUAAUGUUACUACUUAGCUUCGGCUGGUGGAGGUCCUGUAGAACCAUGUCCAGAUAAAGCGUCCGGGGAGAAAAAAUUGAAGGAAAAAAGUUGAGCAAAGGAAAAAAUACAACUAUAACACGGUAAUUAAAAAGUAAAAACCGUAAAGUUGGCAGGCAGCAAAGUAACGCUAGCCACAAAACGCAAAGCAGCACGUAAACAACAAUAAACCCUAGUUGAGUACGAGCUCUGUUUCACAUGGUACGUUGCUACACCGAACAACAAUUUAAACGCAACCAUUUCUACGAUUUUACAGUUCAUAUGAGGAAAUCAGUCAAUUUAGAUGAAUUCUGUCAUGCAGCACAACACAUCUCCUUCACAUAGAGUUGACCUUGCGACACGGGGCCGUGUAUCAUCCUGCUGAAACAUGAGGUGAUGGCAGCGGAUGAAUGGCACGACAACGGGCCUCAGGAUCUCGUCCCCAGUAUUUCUGCGAAUUCAAAUUAUCACCGAUAAAAACACAAUUGUGUUCGCUGUCUGUAGCUUAUGCCUGACCAUACCAUAACCCCACCGACACCAUGGGGCACUCUGUUUACAUUCUGAAACUGGGAUACAUCUGUGAAGAGCACACUUCUCCAGCGUGCCAGUGGCAAUCGAAGGUGAGCAUUUUCCCACUGAAGUUGGUUACGAUGCCAAACUGCAGUCAGGUA